rnacentral:lncRNA from 1 species
AGAUGAUGCUGUUAACAAUAGCUGUCAUUUGAGGGCUUUACAGCACUUCCCAGAGUCCUUGCUCUUUUUUAAAGGAGAUGUCCAAUUCUGAUGCAAAAACACAAGGAUGAAGAAUCUACCACAACUUCAUAUUCAGUUAGUGACCGGAACUGGGUUCUACUACCUGUAUGUUGCCUCUUCCUUCCCCAGCUAGACUCAUGCUUUGCUUUGCCAAAGCUUCCAUCUUCUGACUAUACCCCGCAAACCGGUUGCCACUAGCUUGACAGUGUACUUUUC